rnacentral:rRNA from 1 species
AUUGAACGCUGGCGGCAGGCCUAACACAUGCAAGUCGAACGAGGGGCGGACGGGUGAGUAAUGUCUGUGAAACUGCCUGAUGGAGGGGGAUAACUACUGGAAACGGUAGCUAAUACCGCAUACCAUCGGAUGUGCCCAGCUGGGAUAAGCUAGUAGGUGGGGUAAAGGCUCACCUGGGCGACGAGCCCUCGCUGGUCUGAGAGGAUGACCAGCGCCUCUGGAACUUAUACACGGUCCAGACGCCUACGUGAGGCAGCAGUGGGGAAUAUUGCACAGUGGGCGCAAGCCUGAUGCAGCCAUGCCGAGUGUAUGAAGAAGGCCUUCGGGUUGUAAAGUACUUUCAGCGGGGAGGCGUUACCCGCAGAAGAAGCACCGGCUAACUCCGUGCCAGCAGCCGCGGUAAUUC